rnacentral:rRNA from 1 species
CCCGCUCAGAAACUUAAAUGAAUUGACGGGGCCCGCACAAGCGGUGGAGUAUGUGGUUUAAUUCGAUGCAACGCGAAGAACCUUACCUGGUCUUGACAUCCCGGAGACCCUUAGGAAACUAGGGGUGCUUCCAUCUGGAAGAAUCUGGAGACAGGUGCUGCAUGGCUGUCGUCAGCUCGUGUCGUGAGAUGUUGGGUUAAGUCCCGCAACGAGCGCAACCCUUGCCUUUAGUUGCCAGCAGUUCGGCUGGGCACUCUAAAGGGACUGCCGGUGUUAAACCGGAGGAAGGUGGGGAUGACGUCAAGUCCUCAUGGCCUUUAUGACCAGGGCUACACACGUACUACAAUGGCCGAUACAAAGGGCAGCGACACUGCGAGGUGAAGCCAAUCCCGUAAAAUCGGUCUCAGUCCGGAUUGGAGUCUGCAACUCGACUCCAUGAAGCUGGAAUCGCUAGUAAUCGUGGAUCAGCAUGCCACGGUGAAUACGUUCCCGGGCCUU